GACGAACGCUGGCGGCGUGCCUAAUACAUGCAAGUCGAGCGAAGCUUUUCUGGUGCUUGCACUAGAAAAACUUAGCGGCGAACGGGUGAGUAACACGUAAAGAACCUGCCUCAUAGACGGGGACAACUAUUGGAAACGAUAGCUAAUACCGGAUAACAGCAUAAAUCGCAUGAUAUAUGUUUAAAAGUUGGUUUCGGCUAACACUAUGAGAUGGCUUUGCGGUGCAUUAGCUAGUUGGUGGGGUAAAGGCCUACCAAGGCGACGAUGCAUAGCCGACCUGAGAGGGUGAUCGGCCACACUGGGACUGAGACACGGCCCAGACUCCUACGGGAGGCAGCAGUAGGGAAUCUUCCGCAAUGGGCGAAAGCCUGACGGAGCAACGCCGCGUGAGUGAAGAAGGAUUUCGGUUCGUAAAGCUCUGUUGUUAGGGAAGAAUGAUUGUAUAGUAACUAUAUACAGUAGAGACGGUACCUAACCAGAAAGCCACGGCUAACUACGUGCCAGCAGCCGCGGUAAUACGUAGGUGGCAAGCGUUGUCCGGAAUUAUUGGGCGUAAAGCGCGCGCAGGUGGUUUAAUAAGUCUGAUGUGAAAGCCCACGGCUCAACCGUGGAGGGUCAUUGGAAACUGUUAAACUUGAGUGCAGGAGAGAAAAGUGGAAUUCCUAGUGUAGCGGUGAAAUGCGUAGAGAUUAGGAGGAACACCAGUGGCGAAGGCGGCUUUUUGGCCUGUAACUGACACUGAGGCGCGAAAGCGUGGGGAGCAAACAGG
rnacentral:rRNA from 1 species